CCUACGGGUGGCAGCAGUAGGGAAUAUUGCUCAAUGGGGGAAACCCUGAAGCAGCAACGCCGCGUGGAGGAUGAAGGUUUUCGGAUUGUAAAGCUCUAUCAGUAGGGAAGAAAAUGACGGUACCUGACUAAGAAGCCCCGGCUAACUACGUGCCAGCAGCCGCGGUAAUACGUAGGGGGCAAGCGUUAUCCGGAUUUACUGGGUGUAAAGGGAGCGUAGACGGUGCAGCACGUCUGAUGUGAAAGGUCGGGGCGCAACCCCGGGACUGCAUUGGAAACUGUUGAACUGGAGUACAGGAGAGGUAAGCGGAAUUCCUAGUGUAGCGGUGAAAUGCGUAGAUAUUAGGAGGAACACCAGUGGCGAAGGCGGCUUACUGGACUGUAACUGACGUUGAGGCUCGAAAGCGUGGGGAGCAAACAGGAUUAGAUACCCGAGUAGUC
rnacentral:rRNA from 1 species